rnacentral:ncRNA from 1 species
GUCAUCGUGAGGUGGGGUCUGGAGGAAGCCCGAGGCGAAACCCUGCACCGAGGGACACGAACCGCGUAUGAGGCGGGGCGAUCUGGGUGAGCCCGCAGCGGAGGGUGAAGCCCGUCACCAUCGACAGGAUCGUCACGUAGACGCGGCGGGCGUAGGGGGAAAGUGAUCGUU